AUUGAACGCUGGCGGCAGGCUUAACACAUGCAAGUCGAGCGAGCGGCGGACGGGUGAGUAAUGUAUGGGCAACUGCCCGAUAGCGGGGGAUAACUACUGGAAACGGUGGCUAAUACCGCAUACUAUCGGCUGAACCCAUAUGGGAUUAGCUAGUGGGUGGGGUAAAGGCUCACCUAGGCGACGAUCCCUAGCUGGUCUGAGAGGAUGAUUAGCAAAACGGGAACUGAGACACGGCCCAGAGUCCUAAGGGAGGCAGCAGAGGGGAAUAUUGCACAAUGGGGGCAACCCUGAUGCAGCCAUGCCGCGUGUAUGAAGAAGGCCUUCGGGUUGUAAAGUACUUUCAGUAGGUAGGCGGUAACUGCAGAAGAAGCACCGGCUAACUCCGUGCCAGCCGCCGCGGUAAUAC
rnacentral:rRNA from 1 species